CAGUAGCCGCGGUAGUACGAGGGGGGCAAGCGUUGUUCGGAUUUAUUGGGCGUAAAGGGUGCGUAGGCGGUUUGGCAAGUCUUGUGUGAAAUCUUCGGGCUCAACCCGAAGCCUGCACGAGAAACUACCGGGCUUGAGUAUUGGAGAGGUGAGUGGAAUUUCCGGUGUAGCGGUGAAAUGCGUAGAUAUCGGAAGGAACACCUGUGGCGAAAGCGGCUCACUGGACAAUAACUGACGCUGAUGCACGAAAGCUAGGGGAGCAAACAGGAUUAGAUACCCGCGUAGUCCCUGUCUCUUAUAC
rnacentral:rRNA from 1 species